GGAAUAUUGCCCAAUGGAGGAAACUCUGAGGCAGCAACGCCGCGUGAACGAUGACGGCCUUCGGGUUGUAAAGUUCUUUUCCCAGGGAAGAUAAUGACGGUACCUGAGGAAUAAGUCCCGCCGAACUACGUUCCAGCAGCCGCGGUAAAACGUAGGGGACAAGCGUUAUCCGGAUUUACUGGGCGUAAAGCGCCCGUAGGCGGCUUAAUAAGUUGGACGUGAUAGCUCCCGGCUUAACUGGGAGAGGCCGUUCAAAACUGUUAAGCUAGAGUGAGGAAGAGGAGAGCGGAAUUCCCGGUGUAGUGGUGGAAUGCGUAGAGAUCGGGAGGAACACCAGUGGCGAAAGCGGCUCUCUGGUCCUAAACUGACGCUGAGGGGCGAAAGCGUGGGGAGCGAA
rnacentral:rRNA from 1 species